ACCUAGCAGGCUCAGCCGGUAGAGCGGGUGACUCUUGAUCUCGGAGUCGCGAGUUCGAGCCCCGCGAUGGGUG
rnacentral:tRNA from 1 species